GCUUUCCUUGUCAUGGGGUGAGAGAGUUGCUCAAUGUACGCCUAGUGAGAGCGACCCUGCUAACGCCAUAGCAACACACAUGCAUCACCUGGGCUUCUGUCCAGAGACUGGUGCAAUUUUUGGAGAC
rnacentral:ncRNA from 1 species